rnacentral:lncRNA from 1 species
UUUCUUUCUGCUUUCCUAUUUUAAACAGAUUUGUUAUUCUUGCAGAGCUGUUAAGCCAUUUUAAGGGAUGCCAAGGUGUCCUCUGACCUCUGAGUAAGGAGUGGUCCUUGCUGGUAGUCCUUUAUACCAUCUGCCAUGAAGUAUGAGAUCCAAAAUCCACUCUUUUCUCCUGAAAAUAUCCAUUAGAUUCAGAGAACAGUUGAUCAAGGGGGAGAGGAGGGGAGAUGGUGUGUUUCUUCACCAGUAGCUGGAAAACAAGGAGGAUGGAUAGAUUGUGUGUCAGGAUUGCUGGGAAAACCAUUUGUGCCUGCUGACUUCAAGGUUUGCUGCUCUGGAGCGUGGACCCAGCCUGUUCCCAGGAUGGUGCUGCUUUGCUCAGAAAAGCAAAUAGUGAAAAAUUAUUUCAGCUGAAGAGAAGCAGAAUGUGGCUCUUCAUCAACGAACAAAACUCUCCAGGUUGGUGGAGAAAGUGGCAAAGAAAAACAAGUCUGGGAAGGCUGUGAUGAUUAAAAAGGCAGACAAGUUUUGAAGAGUAAACUGGAAACCAUCCUCAAUUAAUUCUUGAACUGCUGACUUCCCAAACCAAUUUAGUCAUUCAUCC